GACGGAGGAUGCAAGUGUUAUCCGGAAUCACUGGGCUUAAAGCGUGUGUAGGCGGAUCGUUAAGUGCCUUGUGAAAUCCCACGGCUCAACCGUGGAACUGCUUGGCAUACUGGCGGUCUUGAGCAACCUAGGGGCGAGCGGAACAAAUGGUGGAGCGGUGAAAUGCGUAGAUAUCAUUUGGAACGCCAAUGGUGAAAACAGCUCGCUGGGGGUUUGCUGACGCUGAGACACGAAAGCCAGGGGAGCAAACGGG
rnacentral:rRNA from 1 species